GGGGGGUUAGCUCAGUUGGGAGAGCGGCUGGUUCGCAAUCAGCAGGUCGUGGGUUCGAUCCCCAUACCCUCCACCA
rnacentral:tRNA from 2 species